rnacentral:rRNA from 1 species
GAUGAACGCUGGCGGCGUGCCUAAUACAUGCAAGUCGAGCGAACAGACGAGGAGCUUGCUCCUCUGACGUUAGCGGCGGACGGGUGAGUAACACGUGGAUAACCUACCUAUAAGACUGGGAUAACUUCGGGAAACCGGAGCUAAUACCGGAUAAUACAUUGAACCGCAUGGUUCAAUAGUGAAAGACGGUUUUGCUGUCACUUAUAGAUGGAUCCGCGCCGCAUUAGCUAGUUGGUAAGGUAACGGCUUACCAAGGCAACGAUGCGUAGCCGACCUGAGAGGGUGAUCGCCCACACUGGAGCUGAGACACGGUCCAGACUCCUACGGGAGGCAGCAGUAGGGAAUCUUCCGCAAUGGGCGAAAGCCUGACGGAGCAACGCCGCGUGAGUGAUGAAGGUCUUCGGAUCGUAAAACUCUGUUAUUAGGGAAGAACAAAUGUGUAAGUAACUAUGCACGUCUUGACGGUACCUAAUCAGAAAGCCACGGCUAACUACGUG